rnacentral:tRNA from 1 species
UGGGGAGGGUGGGAUUUAGACCCACUUAAGCAGAUUUACAGUCUGCCGCCUGUAUCGGCCACCUAACC